ACAUCCCCAUAGACUUGAGAUGUAAGAAGGUCAAAUUUUCUCUAAUUGGAAAAAAGUUGCCUCCCUUAAAGUUGUUGACCUUGAAAAUUCUAACCUCAAAAUGGAACCUAACCUUAAAAACCCAUACGAAUUUUUAGUUGAAACAAAAUGGAGUGUAAAUUGCAUAACACCGGCGCGGCAGGAGGGGCGGGAGGGGGAGACGGGUUUCUCGAAACUGCGCGAGUCGCUGCGGCGGUCGUCCGCGCGCUUGCUCGGCCGCCUCGCCGGGCGCCACUCCGCCUGUCUGCCGGACGUAGACUACACUGAUCCUGAAAGCAUGAAGCGCGCAAGCUCCCUAUCCGCGCUCAGUAACUCCGAGACGCCAGACAACCGCCGGUAGCAAGCGAGCAAACUGCGCAGCGUAGUCAGCUACACCACCCUCACGUUCGUGAGGAUUUUGGCUCUACAGUCGUGACCCUUAGUCUAGACGCGGAAAUAAAAAAAUAACUGUCAAACUUGGCGGGAAUUUGCGUUUUGAUACUGCAUAUAAGAAUUUUAAACUGCCGGGAAGUUUUAUUAUUUUUGAACGAUACAGACAAUUAUAGUUUUUUUUUAAUUGAGAUAUUUUUUUUAUGUUUUCAAAAAACAAAUUCCAGCCUAUGAAACCAUUCUAGGAAUAGGUUAUAGUUAGUUUAUAAAUGAAUAUUCACGCUUGUUACAAUAAAUGCAUUGCGUUUUUGAAAAACGAUUUGAAACCGUUGCGAUUUUUUUAAAGUGGCGAAAAUUUAAUUCAAUGCAAAGUAUUAAGUACCUAUACUUUUUUGUACAAUAAAGUGAACAUUACUACUACUAGACUAGGUACUUACCUACUUAAGUAAACAAAUUAUUUCCUCACCCCUACUGUUUGCUGAUUAAGGUUUAAAAUCGUUUGACAAAUCUGUGGCAUUUUUAGCUUUAAUACAACGCAAUACAAGUGGAAACAUGAGAGAUAUGAGUAGGUAGAGUCUGUUUAGUGUGGUCGUUCACAUCGAAAAGAACCUUACUACCUUUUUGUACCGGGCGAAAAUGGACCUUACUGUAUAAGUAACCUGCACGACUACCACGAGUUGGCAUUUGACAUAUACAUUAGCGACUGCGUGAACUCGUUCGCAUCCCCUCUCCAUCUCACCAAUACAUCAGUGCGAGCGAGAUGGUCUGCGAUCGAGUUUACACAGUCGCUCACGUAAACGUCAAGUGUUGACUCGCGGUACGGCUACUAAUAGGAAUACUGAGGGCCUACCGCGAACCACGUUCGACGUGUUGCCUCUCUGUCGCACGUGUAAAUUCGUACGUAAGUGUGACUGGGAGGCAACACGUCGAACGUGGGUCGCGGUAGGCCCUCUGGACUGUAAAACAAAAUAUUUCUCAUUGUUUUAAGUAUAAAAAGAUACAAUAAUAGCCGCUUUAAGGUGCUUCUGGAUUUGAAUGAUCAUAAUAUGUAGUUAUUUACAAUACAAGUGCGGAAAAGAGGAAAUUCGAAACGAGUGGCGAUAAAUUAAAACACGACCGAAGGGAGUGUUUUAAAUCGACACGAGUUGCGAAUUACCUAUUCGCACGUGUAUCGUACAACAUUUUACAGUACAUAAUAAUGGCCCUUUAAACUUUUGACAUACGCACGAAAAGUGCUAUUUUACGCACUAGUGCGGGAAAAUAGGACCAUAUGUACUGUAAAUAAUCUUUUAUUGCUGAAGAAUGCUAUUUUAAUAGGAUCUUGUCGAAAGGUGUGGCUUAUCUAAAGUGAUCGCCUUUUUUUAUUCACUCGUGCAAAGCUUCUAGUAAGUAAUAUAAUGAUAUUUUCACCCACUCCGUUUUUCACAUUGCGUUGGUUUCAUUCCGUAGAGUUAGGUAAAGCCUGUGGCGAAAUGUAGAGUGUUUAUUAGUAAUUUUACUUUUUAAACCAGUUGCUUUAAAGUGUCAAACAAAUGCUAAGCAUCUUGCAUAUUAUAUGGUUAUCAAAGUAUUAGGUAACUGAAAUAAAAUUCCUCAAAAAAUCGAUGGCUAGCUAAAUAAAUAGACAGGAUUUUACUUUUGCGAGUUUACUUAAUUUUAUAGUUAACAAAUGCACACAAAAUCAGUCUAAGUUUUAUUUCGUACCUUAUAAAACUAUGAUAAUCUUCAAUGUCGCUUUAGGUACCUACGAGUAUACAUUUGGUAAAAUCACGCAAAGAAUUAUAAAAGAAAAAAUAUUAGUUCCUAGGCAUUUCUAAUUAUGUGUAUAAUUUAUUCUUGAGUAGUUAAAAAUAUGCUGCUUUUGUGACACCAACAUUAAUGGAUCUCGAUUUUUUUAGUAUGAAAAAUUAUUUUAAAUAAACUGUUGUAUGAA